rnacentral:piRNA from 1 species
GGUCAGUCACACUGCUGAGUGUAGGAGGC